CAAAAUCGCUCCAUCGUGCGGUUUGAAUUAAAUCAGCAAGCCACAUUUAAUUACAAUAUAAACGGACGAAAUUUACUUAUAACUACAAAAAGGGUAUAUUGGUAACAUUGAAAAUGAGUAAAACGAAACAUUCCAAAUUUACUCCACAAUUAUCGAAAUAGAUCUUCUCCCCGUUUACUGCAUAUUUUUUACUCUCUCUCUCUCUCUCUCUCUCUCUCUCUCUCUCUCUCUCGUUCCAAUCCCUCGUCCCUUCUCCCCAUUCGACGGUUGCCGACAUCUGUUCUGGAACUCACGCAGUGUGAGAUCGAAAAAUUGCGACUGAAUGUUGCGGUCGCAGGCGGUGCUGUCACGACCAUGGUGGCAUGGAUCUUGUCGUCGAACUGAGCCUUCUUCAAUUACGUUGUUGAAGACGGCUAAGAACGGCAGAAGACGGGCUAUCGACGCCGCCUUUCCGAUGUCUAAUCUAAUAUUAUUUGACAUUUCUAGCUAUUGUAUCAAUCAGCCCCAUGUUGAGAGAGUUUGAUCAUAAGAGCCAAGGAUUUCAACAUUGUUUUUGAUUAUGUGGCCAUCACACACUUGUCGUAUGGUGCCUAAUUCUCAAAGGUUGUGGAGCAGAAGCAAGUGGCCCAACAAUAGGUGCAGAGAUCAAAGUUUGUAGUCAUGAAGGCAGAGCUGCUAUUGUUAGGGUUGAGGGUGAAACUGAGUCUGCCAAGCUAAUUUAUGAUGCAACUGUAACUUCAGGGGUGAGUUUGAUCGAGCUGAGGAAGAUUGAGGCAGCUGCAGGAGAGGAAGAAAUUGAAUUAUUUUAAUUGUUUCAUUUAGGUUUCUGUUCAUUUAAGAAUAUAUCUUGUUCGUUAGAAAUUUUGUUAUGUUCAUUUAUAAAAUAUAAUUCUUUGUAGCAUAAUAUAUUCAUGAAUUACUUUUUUCAGUA